rnacentral:rRNA from 1 species
AGAGUUUGAUCCUGGCUCAGGAUGAACGCUGGCGGCGUGCUUAAUACAUGCAAGUCGAACGGAGACAUUAGCAAUAAUGUUUUAGUGGCGAACGGGUGAGUAACGCGUUGGUGACCUGCCCCGAAGAGAGGGAUAACAGUCCGAAAGGAUUGCUAAUACCCCAUGUGGUUGUUUGGAUUAGAUGCCUUACAACUAAACGGAUUUAUUCGCUUCGGGAGGGGCCUGCGUACCAUCAGCUAGUUGGUAGGGUAAUGGCCUACCAAGGCGAUGACGGUUAGGGGACCUGAGGGGGUGGCCCCCCACAAUGGAACUGAAACACGGUCCAUACACCUACGGGUGGCAGCAGUAGGGAAUAUUGGUUAAUCUACGAAAGUGGGAACCAGCAACGCCGCGUGCACGAUGAAGGCCUUCGGGUUGUAAAGUGCUUUUUGAGAGGAUGAGGAAGGACAGUACUCUUAGAAUAAGCUUCGGCUAACUACGUGCCAGCAGCCGCGGUAAAACGUAGGAAGCGAGCGUUAUCCGGAUUUACUGGGCGUAAAGCGUGUGUAGGCGGUUUGAUAAGUUGGAUGUGAAAGCUCCUGGCUUAACUGGGAGAGGUCGUUCAAAACUAUCAGACUUGAGAGUGGUAGAGGGAGGUGGAAUUCCGGGUGUAGUGGUGAAAUGCGUAGAUAUCCGGAGGAACACCAGUGGCGAAAGCGGCCUCCUGGCCCAUUUCUGACGCUCAGACACGAAAGCUAAGUAGCAAACGGGAUUAGAGACCCCGGUAGUCUUAGCUGUAAACGAUGUGAACUUAGUGUCGGUGGGUUUAAAUCCAUCGGUACUGAAGCUAACGCGAUAAGUUCACCGCCUGGGGACUACGGCCGCAAGGUUAAAACUCAAAGGAAUUGACGG